ACCUGGGUGGCUCAGUCGGUUGAGUAUCUGACUUUGGCUCAGAUCACGAUCUCGCUUGUUUGUGGGUUCAAGCCCCACGUCGGGCU
rnacentral:tRNA from 1 species